rnacentral:sRNA from 1 species
CCUACCAGACCCACCAAGUUACGGGCGGCGGAGAGCGAUCUUGCCGUGAACUGGGGGAUUAGCUCAGCUGGGAGAGCACCUGCUUUGCAAGCAGGGGGUCGUCGGUUCGAUCCCGUCAUCCUCCACCAACACCUUGUGGUAGCCAAACGCAAGCAUCGAGAGAUCGGUGUUUGCGUUUGGCAUUGCCAAGACGAGUAGUAACUCGGCUGUUCUUUAACAAUAUGGAAUGUAGUAAAGGUGUCGCGGCGCGUUGAUGAGGCGCGCAAUUUAAACGCGACACUGGGUUGUGAUUGUAUCAACCAGUAUUACGAGUGAUCGAAAGACCGCUUGGAAUACGGCACAACGCGAGAACUCAGCCUAUAGCGAGACAUACUCGUUAUAGGGUCAAGCGAAUAAGUGCAUGUGGUGGAUGCCUUGGCGAUCACAGGCGAUGAAGGACGUAGUAGCUUGCGAAAAGCUGCGGGGAGCUGGCAAACGAGCUUUGAUCCGCAGAUGUCCGAAUGGGGAAACCCGGCCCGUAUGGGUCAUCCCUUGCUGAAUACAUAGGCAAGGGAGGCGAACGCAGUGAACUGAAACAUCUAAGUAGCUGCAGGAAAAGAAAUCAACCGAGAUUCCCAGAGUAGUGGCGAGCGAAAUGGGAACAGCCUUGUACUCUUUAGCAGUAUUGUUAGCGGAACGGAAUGGAAAGUCCGGCCAUAGUGGGUGAUAGCCCCGUACGCGAAAACAGUAUUGUGGAACUAGGUGUACGACAAGUAGGGCGGGACACGUGAAAUCCUGUCUGAAGAUGGGGGGACCAUCCUCCAAGGCUAAAUACUCGUGAUCGACCGAUAGUGAACCAGUACCGUGAGGGAAAGGCGAAAAGAACCCCGGGAGGGGAGUGAAAUAGAUCCUGAAACCGCAUGCAUACAAACAGUCGGAGCCUGGAAACGGGUGACGGCGUACCUUUUGUAUAAUGGGUCAGCGACUUACAUUCAGUGGCAAGCUUAACCGAUUAGGGAAGGCGUAGCGAAAGCGAGUCCGAAUAGGGCGUUCAGUCGCUGGGUGUAGACCCGAAACCAAGUGAUCUAUCCAUGGCCAGGUUGAAGGUGCGGUAACACGUACUGGAGGACCGAACCCACUAACGUUGAAAAGUUAGGGGAUGAGCUGUGGAUAGGGGUGAAAGGCUAAACAAACUUGGAAAUAGCUGGUUCUCUCCGAAAACUAUUUAGGUAGUGCCUCGUGUCUCACCUUCGGGGGUAGAGCACUGUCAUGGUUGGGGGGUCUAUUGCUGAUUACCCCGCCAUAGCAAACUCCGAAUACCGAA